CCUACGGGUGGCAGCAGUGGGGAAUAUUGCGCAAUGGGCGAAAGCCUGACGCAGUGACGCCGCGUGAGGGAUGAAGGUCUUCGGAUCGUAAACCUCUGUCAGCAGGGAAGAACGGUCACUGUGCUAAUCAGCAGUGAAUUGACGGUACCUGCAAAGGAAGCACCGGCUAACUCCGUGCCAGCAGCCGCGGUAAUACGGAGGGUGCGAGCGUUAAUCGGAAUUACUGGGCGUAAAGCGCUCGUAGGCGGUAUGUCAAGUCAAGGGUGAAAUCCCCGCGCUCAACGUGGGAACUGCGUUGAAACUGGCAAACUGGAGUGGGCGAGAGGAUAGUGGAAUGCCAGGUGUAGGAGUGAAAUGCGUAGAUAUCUGGAAGAACAUCAGUGGCGAAGGCGGCUAUCUGGCACAUAACUGACGCUGAGGAGCGAAAGCGUGGGUAGCGAACAGGAUUAGAUACCCCUGUAGUC
rnacentral:rRNA from 1 species